rnacentral:rRNA from 1 species
GUGCCAGCAGCCGCGGUAAAACGUAGGACGCAAGCGUUAUCCGGAGUUACUGGGCGUAAAGGGCGGGCAGGCGGUCUCGCAAGUGAGGUGUGAAAGCUCCCGGCUUAACCGGGAGAGGCCACUUCGGACUGUGAGGCUGGAGGGCAGUAGAGGUGCGUGGAAUUCCGGGUGGAGUGGUGAAAUGCGUAGAGAUACGGAGGAACACCAGAGGCGAAGGCGGCGCACCGGGCUGCACCUGACGCUGAUCCGCGAAAGCCAGGGGAGCGAACGGGAUUAGAAACCCCAGUAGUCC